GACGAACGCUGGCGGCGUGCCUAAUACAUGCAAGUCGAGCGGACGAAUCGAAAGCUUGCUUUUGAUUCGUUAGCGGCGGACGGGUGAGUAACACGUGGGCAACCUGCCCUGUAGACGGGGAUAACACCGAGAAAUCGGUGCUAAUACCGGAUAACGCGAAAUGUCGCAUGACGUUUCGUUGAAAGACGGCGCAAGCUGUCGCUACAGGAUGGGCCCGCGGCGCAUUAGCUAGUUGGUGAGGUAACGGCUCACCAAGGCGACGAUGCGUAGCCGACCUGAGAGGGUGAUCGGCCACACUGGGACUGAGACACGGCCCAGACUCCUACGGGAGGCAGCAGUAGGGAAUCUUCCGCAAUGGACGAAAGUCUGACGGAGCAACGCCGCGUGAGAGAAGAAGGCCUUCGGGUCGUAAAGCUCUGUUGUUAGGGAAGAACAAGUAACGCAGUAACUGGCGUUACCGUGACGGUACCUAACGAGAAAGCCACGGCUAACUACGUG
rnacentral:rRNA from 1 species